rnacentral:tRNA from 1 species
CAAAGAUUAGUUUAGUUUAGAAUCCUAGCUUUGGGAGCUAGAUAUCUGA